GAUGAACGCUGGCGGCGUGCUUAACACAUGCAAGUCGAACGGUGAACACGGAGCUUGCUCUGUGGGAUCAGUGGCGAACGGGUAAGUAACACGUGAGCAACCUGCCCCUGACUCUGGGAUAAGCGCUGGAAACGGCGUCUAAUACUGGAUACGAGUAGCGGCCGCAUGGUCAGUUACUGGAAAGAUUUUUUGGUUGGGGAUGGGCUCGCGGCCUAGCAGCUUGUGGGUGAGGUAAUGGCUCACCAAGGCGUCGACGGGUAGCCGGCCUGAGAGGGUGACCGGCCACACUGGGACUGAGACACGGCCCAGACUCCUACGGGAGGCAGCAGUGGGGAAUAUUGCACAAUGGGCGGAAGCCUGAUGCAGCAACGCCGCGUGAGGGAUGACGGCCUUCGGGUUGUAAACCUCUUUUAGCAGGGAAGAAGCGAAAGUGACGGUACCUGCAGAAAAAGCGCCGGCUAACUACGUGCCAGCCGCCGCCGUAA
rnacentral:rRNA from 1 species